rnacentral:rRNA from 1 species
AUUGAACGCUGGCGGCAUGCCUUACACAUGCAAGUCGAACGGUAACGCGGGGCAACCUGGCGACGAGUGGCGAACGGGUGAGUAAUGCAUCGGAACGUGCCCAGUAGUGGGGGAUAGCCCGGCGAAAGCCGGAUUAAUACCGCAUACGACCUACGGGUGAAAGCGGGGGACCGUAAGGCCUCGCGCUAUUGGAGCGGCCGAUGUCAGAUUAGGUUGUUGGUGGGGGUAAAAGCCUACCAAGCCGACGAUCUGUAGCUGGUCUGAGAGGACGACCAGCCACACUGGGACUGAGACACGGCCCAGACUCCUACGGGAGGCAGCAGUGGGGAAUUUUGGACAAUGGGGGCAACCCUGAUCCAGCCAUGCCGCGUGCGGGAAGAAGGCCAUCGGGUUGUAAACCGCUUUUGUCAGGGAAGAAACGCUCUGGGCUAAUACCCCGGGGUAAUGACGGUACCUGAAGAAUGAGCACCGGCUAACUACGUGCCAGCCGCCGCGGUAACAC